rnacentral:rRNA from 1 species
GUCCACACGGUAAACGAUGAAUACUCGCUGUUGGCGAUAUACGGUCAGCGGCCAAGCGAAAGCAUUAAGUAUUCCACCUGGGGAGUACGCCGGCAACGGUGAAACUCAAAGGAAUUGACGGGGGCCCCGCACAAGCGGAGGAACAUGUGGUUUAAUUCGAUGAUACGCGAGGAACCUUACCCGGGCUUAAAUUAUGCAUGAAUUAUCUGGAAACAGGUAAGCCGCAAGGCAUGUAUGAAGGUGCUGCAUGGUUGUCGU